CUGGAAUCUCUCGGGGUUACAGCCUUGCUGAAUUAUUCACCCUUGUCUUUUGCGUACUUCUUGUUUCCUUGGUGGGUUCGCCCACCACUAGGACAAACAUAAACCUUUUGUAAUUGCAAUCAGCGUCAGUAACAAAUUAAUAAUUACAACUUUCAACAACGGAUCUCUUGGUUCUGGCAUCGAUGAAGAACGCAGCGAAAUGCGAUAAGUAGUGUGAAUUGCAGAAUUCAGUGAAUCAUCGAAUCUUUGAACGCACAUUGCGCCCUUUGGUAUUCCAAAGGGCAUGCCUGUUCGAGCGUCAUUUGUACCCUCAAGCUUUGCUUGGUGUUGGGCGUCUUGUCUCUAGCUUUGCUGGAGACUCGCCUUAAAGUAAUUGGCAGCCGGCCUACUGGUUUCGGAGCGCAGCACAAGUCGCACUCUCUAUCAGCAAAGGUCUAGCAUCCAUUAAGCCUUUUUUCAACUUUUGACCUCGGAUCAGGUAGGGAUACCCGCUGAACUUAAGCAUAUCAAUAAGCGGAGGAA
rnacentral:rRNA from 1 species